rnacentral:lncRNA from 1 species
UUUGCUGCAUAUAUGUGCUUGGUUCAGUGAUAUUCAUACAUGUCUUUAUACAUGCAGAUUGUACAUUCUGAAUAUUUUCUUCGGAUGUUUUAUUCUGUGCUAGAAUGUGAUAAUGAAGACCAUACAUGUGGAUUAUAACUUCCGUCUAUUUGAGCAUCUCCUUCAGGGUAGGUGAUACUUAGAAAAGGGAGGAAAGAACACCUUACCUAUUGACAUGUUAGUAUAUUAUUCACUUACUAGGAGGGACCGUAAGUAUACAGUAGCUUUUCCAUAUCACUGUAGAAAAAAGAUCAUUUGUAGAGGAGAUUU